rnacentral:rRNA from 1 species
UGUUUUCCUGACACGCCAGAUAAAUAAGUCCUUUGGAACAGAGCAUCAUAGAGGGUGAGAAUCCCGUCUUUGGUCUGAGCAGUUGUCUUUUGUGAUACAUUUUCAAAGAGUCAGGUUGUUUGGGAAUGCAGCCUAAAUUGGGUGGUAAAUCUCACCUAAAGCUAAAUAUUUGCGAGAGACCGAUAGCGAACAAGUACCGUGAGGGAAAGAUGAAAAGAACUUUGAAAAGAGAGUUAAACAGUAUGUGAAAUUGUUAAAAGGGAACCGUUUGGAGCCAGACUGGCUUGACUGUAAUCAAUCUAGAUCCUUCUGGAUGCACUUGCAGUUUAUGCCUGCCAAUGACAAUUUGUUUUGAGGGAAAAAACUGGGAAGAAUGUGGCCCCUUUUGGGGUGUUAUAGCUUCUUAGAAAAUACCUUGGAGCGGAUUGAGGAUCGCAGUGAAUGUCUUUUAGGCAAGAUUGCUGGGUGCUUUUGCUGAUAAAUGCUAGAAUUUCUGCUUUUAGGUGGUGCUAGUGU